CUCCUACUCCCUCCGUCCGGAAAUACUUGUCAUCAAAAUGAAUAAAAGGGGAUGUAUCUAGAUGUAUAUUAGUUCUAGAUACAUCCUUUUUUAUCCAUUUUGAUGACAAGUAUUUUCGGACGGAGGGAGUACCUA
rnacentral:pre_miRNA from 1 species